rnacentral:rRNA from 1 species
GACGAACCGUGCGAACGUUGUUCGGAUUCACUGGGCUUAAAGGGCGCGUAGGCGGACGGUCAAGUCAGGGGUGAAAUCUUUCAGCCCAACUGGAAAAGUGCCUUUGAUACUGAUCGUCUCGAGGGAGGUAGGGGCAUGUGGAACUUCCGGUGGAGCGGUGAAAUGCGUAGAUAUCGGAAAGAACACCAACGGCGAAAGCACUCUGCUGGGCCGACACUGACACUGAGAGACGAAAGCUAGGGGAGCAAAUGGG